AUCGUUAGCUUCCGCUUCUCUCCCACACACAUGUCCUUCAAACCUUUGUCCCAGCCUUUGAUGGCUUCUCUUAUGCCAAGUGUAAACCACAUAGGUUGGCCAUUGUUAUGUUUGUGCAGAAGUUAGUCAGCAGGAACAACUUAAAGCGUCACUACAGCUCCUUUGAGAGAGGCGGGUUAAGUGGAGUGGAACAUGGAGCCGUCGCUCUGCAGGAAGCCCUCGUAGUGCACCAGCAUCAUGUCCCCCCACUUGGUCCUCCGGUGGCACAGGAACGGCUUCUGCAGCACCUCCACCUUCACGUCGGCCGCGGGGAUGAGGGCCGCGGCCGCGCAGCCCAGCAGGGCGCCCAGCAGGACGGCCCUCAGCACCGCCAUCCCGCCCCGCCGCCGGACCCAGCGCCCACCUCAGCGCCGCGGGGCCACCAUGGCCCGCCAGCUGCCGGCAGCACGGCGGCCGCCCGGCCCGGCCAACCCGCAGACGUGGCAGAGGCUCUCCCGGCUGGCAGACCCCGACUUCGUGCCG
rnacentral:lncRNA from 1 species